GAUGAACGCUGGCGGCGUGCCUAAUACAUGCAAGUCGAGCGAAUGGAUUAAGAGCUUGCUCUUAUGAAGUUAGCGGCGGACGGGUGAGUAACACGUGGUAACCUGUCCAUAAGACUGGGAUAACUCCGGGAAACCGGGGCUAAUACCGGAUAACAUUUUGAACCGCAUGGUUCGAAAUUGAAAGGCGGCUUCGGCUGUCACUUAUGGAUGGACCCGCGUCGGAUUAGCUAGUUGGUGAGGUAACGGCUCCCCAAGGCAACGAUGCGUAGCCGACCUGAGAGGGUGAUCGGCCACACUGGGACUGAGACACGGCCCAGACUCCUACGGGAGGCAGCAGUAGGGAAUCUUCCGCAAUGGACGAAAGUCUGACGGAGCAACGCCGCGUGAGUGAUGAAGGCUUUCGGGUCGUAAAACUCUGUUGUUAGGGAAGAACAAGUGCUAGUUGAAUAAGCUGGCACCUUGACGGUACCUAACCAGAAAGCCACGGCUAACUACGUGCCAGCCGCCGCGGUAA
rnacentral:rRNA from 1 species